GCCUCCGUCGUCUAGCGGCCUAGGAUGCGUGGUUCUCAGCCACGAGACAGGGGUUCAAAUCCCCUCGGGGGUACCA
rnacentral:tRNA from 1 species